GCACGGAUUGCCCGGGGGAGAUGGCGCGGGACGCGGAGAGUGGCAUGCGCGGCGCUCGCCAGCUGUGCUUCACUCUCUCGCUUCCCACUUCCUCGCGGCGCCUGGGCCCAGCCGGCUCUCGGCGCCGCCUUCCCGCGGCCUGGCCUUCACGUCCUUCCCUUUCUCCCUUGGCUCUCGUCCUCCUCUCUUCUUUCCCGGCCAUUCCUCUCAGCCGAACGCGUCUUCCCGGCACCUUCUUCCUGCAAGCGCCUCGAUCUGGACUGCGACCGAUUACCCAGCUCUUCCUGGCCUCCUCGCCGCGAGGCCGAGGCUCCCCAGGCCCCCAGCGCCAGCCUUUCGCAGUGCCGAGGGCUCCGCUUUCCCAGGAUCUGGGCCUUGCCCGGCGAGAUGGGAGGAGAAAGGGGACUCCAGGGUCUUGCCCUCAGCCCGACCCCAGGUCGCGGCCAGAGACUGAAGUCCGUUGCCUCCUCCACCCCGAAGCCCUGCGACCGGGAGACCCAGCGCCAGAAGAGGCCACUGGCGGUAAUGGCUCCCCCAGGCUCCUUCCUGGGCUCCCUCCUCCCGGCUUCCUCCCGCUGCCUCUUUCCAGCCUCUUCACACGCGCCGCUCGGGAGAGCCUCUGGGCCUCUGGAGGCCACUGUCCCGAGCUGAUUUCUUUGGCCUCCGCCUGGGGAAAGGGAACAGGCUGGAAGCUGGCCCUGGGUCGUUCCAGCGAAGGGAUUCUGUUUGGUCUGAGCUCGGCUACCCUCAAGCUGACUGGGACACCCUGGGCCAGUUGGGUACGACCUCUCUGCGACUGCUGGGUGUGGGUGGCUCUGAGGACUGGAGUGCAGAGCAUGAAGGCAGCCCAGUGUGAGGGUGACUGAUGACUGCCUUGAAUACAGAGGUAGGGGCCCUAGCUCUGGGAAACAUUGCUGGUGCCAGAUGUCACUGGGACAGUGGGUGCUCACUGCCACUCAUAGUUGACUGCUUAAGUCAAGGCAGUUAUACCAUCAGGAAUUCUAGCAGGUGUAUGGACCUGUUGGGCACCAGGGAUUAAAUCCGGUUUUGUUCUUUAGACUGUGGGGUGUCCUGAGUGAAGGCAUAAGCAGCCCUUUUGGUUCCUUUAAAAAAAUCUGUAGGACUGCCAGAGAACUCAGUCUCCCAAUCCCACACAUUCCCAGGGGAAGAUCUAAAGUCCCUGCCUGUGACACUCAUCACUUUGAACCCCACCUAUGGGUGGGCAUUUUCAUCCCCCCAGGACAAUUGUGAGUUCUGUGCCCACCUAACACCCUCUCUGCCCUACUAACCCUUUAUGUAGAGCAAAUAAGUUUUGUGUACAGAUGUCAAUUAAAUAGCCUUCAGGGGUAAACUAAUAGGAAGUGGAAUUCAAAAGUGACCCUCCAGCCUGUGAGGUGGGGCCACCCAAGCUGGAGCAAUCCACAGUCAGGCAGAGAUGGGCUUGCACUGGAUGUAAGACAGCCUGUGUGAGUCUUCAGGGGGUGUACUUUUUAUAAAUGUAUGUGCACACACAGAGGUGCCAUUGCGUUUGUAAAAUAUAAUCAAAAUAUUAGAUAUAAAGCAUAGAGGAUAUAUUUACACACCUAACAGAAAGGAAAGGCAAGUGUGGCUUUUAUAAAUCCCUCUGCCCUUCCCCAUUUAAUGAUGGGGAGGUUAUUAUGGGCCUGAAACGCUCAGGAUGUGAUUUACCACUAAUCUCUCCUAGCCAGGGUCACCUGAGUCACUGGCAGUCCUGCCAUGGCUCAGGGCUCUGAUCAAUGAGACAGGCCUGGACUGGUGAAGGAAAGUCUGAACUGCCUUGGCCCCUGAAUGAACAUCCCUUCCAUAGGCCUUCAAUACACUUUUCCCUUGACCUCUGAGAACACAUCCUCCCAAAGAAUCUUUGGAAGGAAACCACUAAAAGGGACCCAUAGCCCUUACCUUAAAGGACUUGCCAAGAAUCAGAGGUGAUGUCUAAAACUGCAAACACCCGGUAGGAUCUCCAUAAAUAUUUGUUGACAGAAGGAAGGGUGUAGCUCUGAGGUUAACCACUUUUGAUGGGUGGGGCAGUGGACCUUUGUUGUUUGAGGCCUCUCCCAAGUCACCCCUUUCCCCCUCCUUCUGGCUCUGGCCCAGGGUCUGGGCUGUACUGGGAGGUGAGCACCUAGGGGUCAAGAACACACUGAUGGUAAAGGAAAAUCAGCACCAUCUUGCAGACCACACAGUGCGGCCCUCCCCAAUCUCCUUGGUGACUCAAGCCUCUGCCAAUGCAGGGUAGAGAGCCAGGGAAGCCAAAUGUGAUGCCUCCCGUGCAUCAAAAUGAAGGCUCCUUCCCGUCACACAAGGGCACGGACCGGAGCUGCUGAGAUGAUAGGCCGGGCGCACAACAGGCACUCCGCACAUCGCACCGCGGACUCAGCGAGCCUCCCAUUCGGACCCUAAGGCCCGAGAAGGCCGCUCCACACCUCCGCUUGCACAGUCCCUAGACCAGUGAGGGCGGGGACGGAGGAAUCCUUUUGUUUUAUAUUGGAAACCGCACACCAAAGGCAGGCAGAAAGCAACCAAAGGAACAGGCCGCCUGAGUCGUGGCUCAAACAGCACAGGGCAGUGGCCGAGCACCAGCCUUUUCGGUGGAGCUGGGAUCCCAGCAGGCAGAAGAGGUGGACAACUCUGACCCCAGACUCCCUACGACCUCACGAUCAACGCUCGCACCUGCACACUCAAACGCACCUGUUUCCCAAAUUAAUCUGGACGCGAAUUUAACGACCGAUUUUGAUAGAUCCGGGAAAUUCUGUCCACCAACACAGCAACUUUUACAGACAAUGCGUAGUGUCCGUUCCUGCUCACCCAAAGCAGUCUCUCUGGGCUGAGAGCCACCACUGUGGGUCCUCAAACCCCACUCGAAACCCUCCGAACCCCUCUGUCUGGGAGCGGUAGGGUGUGAUGACUGCAGGAUCCCUUGAAGAAGCCACUCGCUGCAACCCCACCACCAGCAGCAAAAACGCUUUCACCCGGGAGCUGAAUGGAUGCGCGGAUGGCUGGGGGCCGUGAGGGGACUCGUGAAGCCCAGGCCUCUUGCUUGGGCUGGGCGAUGCCCGCCGUGGGACGGGUGGGAUUGACCUUAGUGGAGUCCAGCCCCUCGGAGAAUCUGCGGGCAGCCGGGACCCACGCUCCAGAAACACGCAAGUCCAAACUCGUACACACAGCACAAUGGCGUGCAGCCGCUG